GCCCCCUCGGCAGCGCAAGCGCCAAGAGUCGUUUUUGCGUCAGUUGGUGCAGGCGAAUGGAAGCCAAAGUUGAGUACUGGAGUCGGGUCCAGUUCCCGGAGUGAUGGGAGGCUACGCGGGACUAGACGAGACAGAAGAUUCUACCAAGCGAGAAGCGAGGCAGCCCUUAGAGGUGUGUAAUUUUCAGCCUGCUGUGCCUCCCUCGGCCUCAACACGCAAAAAGAUCAGAUAUGAAAGAGAAUCGGAUUCGUCCAUCCUGGACCCAGCAAUUCUAGACCUCUAGCCUAUGGAGAUUGGUACACAAGGGGACCUCAACCAAGAACUUAGAAGGGUAGAGGGAAAAUUAUUUUUCCUCCCUACACACCCUUACUCAGGAAUCUGUUGAAAGAGGUGCUCCUCCAUAUGAAUGUGUAAACCAAGAAAGAGGAAGACAUGGAAUCUAGAAAAUGAGAGAUUUAAUACAGAAAGAAAAAUGUUAAUGGGAAAAGCACACUAGUUGUGUGACCUAAGACCUGGGAGCCAUCUCUUUGGAAAGAAAUCGUCAUCAAAGAAGAUAAUGCCCAACUGUCCAGUUUCUGCAGAGGAGAUGGGCCUAACUUGUCACCAAACUCCAAACUGCAAAACUUACUUAAUGUAAUGGUUAUAUCCACUUGGCUAUUGUUAAAUUAAUUAAACAAAGAGCCCAUUAGACUGAGAUGACUCUAAUGCCUUGGUGCUCUUCCUAAGCAAACCAAAACCUAAGCCUAUAAAUGUUUGAAGGUUAAGAAAUCAAAACACUAAGGACAAUCAGUAACACCCAACUAUGCUUUAAGCUAUAGCCAAUCAAAUAAUUUCCUUUCUUUGCUUCCACACUUUCUUUAUAUAAGUCUUUCCCCUGUCUCCUGUUCUUGGAAUGCCCCUAACCACUUCUGGUCUAGCGCUGCCCAAUUGGAAUUAAUUUUUGCUCAAAUAAACUCUUAAAAUUUUUAA